ACUGCUACUUUCAGUGGUUGUGUUCUCUCAUUCUGUCUGUCUUGUGCUUUAGAAUACAAACUUAAAGGUCUGGCUAUACAUGCAAAUUGCACAAGCUGAACUAAAUCACUUCCAAAGUUGAGGUGACAUUUACUGAAAGCUGACUGUUGAACUGCAUUCCAUGCCUUGUGCUAUCYAUCUGCCUUGGAGCUGCUGGACACUAAAGCUCUUCUAACUAGAUCAUUAUGCUGCCAGUUCCUCUCUUCACCACCCUGGUCUACAUUACAUCUAGAGAUAAUCAGCUGGCUUUAUUUUCCAGAAAUAAGAACGYGUCACAUCUGCUGUGCCCUGCAUCCUUGGUGUAAAGAGAGAGAACGUUUGCUCCAACUUCCAGAGAUCACUGGGGAGACAAGUCCUCUCUGAAUUUCCAUCUUGGAGUUGAGAUCUGUGGUGUUGUGAACUUGCCAAGCAAAGAGACUUGAAAAGGUCUGUUACUUAACUUGGUUAAAUAGUAAUAGUUAACUGYACUGCUGAAAAGGUGGGUGAAGUUUAAACUAAACUAAGCUUUAUGGGUAUGGACAUAAAGGGAGGAGAUAGCCAACCGUUAGCCUGAAUUUUGAGCUAACCAGAGCUCACCAACCUGGAUUUUUCCUGAAUAAGUGUUUGAAAACAUGAAAUGGUCCUAUGGAUUAAAUAUAACUUGUGCAUCCUAUUGUGCACUGACAGCUGCCCACUAUAUGUUUUGCAGUAAAAGCUUAAUGUCCUGUUUGACAUCCAGUUGAAGGCAAUUGAAAUCAAAUCUAUAUUCACUGUAGUAUUCAUUCAGAGUAAAACAAACCCCAGUACAUUUCUGGAUUCAACGCACCAUAUUGAAACGGGCAGCUGGGUGUUCUGCUUGCUAAACUGCUUGCUGAAUUGAAAAGCAAAACCAAAAAGCUCUUUGUGCUCUGAGUGAACACUAGGGUUCUUUGAAAAGGCCCUUACAAGGGCCGUGGGCAACGGGAGGAUGCCACCAGCUUCGGGGAUAAGCUCUUGAAGGAGCUUUCUAUUUUCUCUUAAAAAGCACUCUGCAUCCUCCUGUCAGAUGGCCUCRAAUUCAUGAUUCUCUUGGUGCUCAUUGUGCUUUUAGCAUUUGGUAGUAACUUACAUGUGUGAUUCCAGGACUGGCAGUAUUAGCACUAUUUAAAUGUCAAGUUUAAAUUGUCUCCUUGUUUUAAGUUAAGGCUUUAGGCCUUUUUCUAACAAAAGGGAGAGGAAAUUAAUAUCUUCCCUGUUGAUAACUUAGAAAAUAUUAACUAAUUAAAUCUAUGUAAAUCAUUAAAGCUAGCAUUCUAAUGGUUUUGGUAGCAUUGUACCAUAUUGCCAGCAUAUAAAAGUACGCUGCACUAUCUCUGAAAUGUAGUAAUCCUUGGGAACUACCAAU
rnacentral:lncRNA from 1 species